rnacentral:rRNA from 1 species
AUUGAACGCUGGCGGCAUGCCUUACACAUGCAAGUCGAACGGCAGCACGGGAGCAAUCCUGGUGGCGAGUGGCGAACGGGUGAGUAAUAUAUCGGAACGUGCCCAGUCGUGGGGAUAACGUAGCGAAAGCUACGCUAAUACCGCAUACGAUCUAUGGAUGAAAGCGGGGGAUCGCAAGACCUCGCGCGAUUGGAGCGGCCGAUAUCAGAUUAGGUAGUUGGUGAGGUAAAGGCUCACCAAGCCGACGAUCUGUAGCUGGUCUGAGAGGACGACCAGCCACACUGGGACUGAGACACGGCCCAGACUCCUACGGGAGGCAGCAGUGGGGAAUUUUGGACAAUGGGCGCAAGCCUGAUCCAGCAAUGCCGCGUGCAGGAUGAAGGCCUCGGUUGUUAACGUAGUCUUUUGUUACGGUAACGAAACCGGUAGGAGACGUCUAAUACAG